ACGGGUGAGUAACACGUGGGCAAUCUGCCCUGCACUCUGGGACAAGCCUUGGAAACGAGGUCUAAUACCGGAUAUUACCCCUGGGGGCAUCCCUGGGGGUGGAAAGCUCCGGCGGUGCAGGAUGAGCCCGCGGCCUAUCAGCUUGUUGGUGGGGUGAUGGCCUACCAAGGCGACGACGGGUAGCCGGCCUGAGAGGGCGACCGGCCACACUGGGACUGAGACACGGCCCAGACUCCUACGGGAGGCAGCAGUGGGGAAUAUUGCACAAUGGGCGAAAGCCUGAUGCAGCGACGCCGCGUGAGGGAUGAAGGCCUUCGGGUUGUAAACCUCUUUCAGCAGGGAAGAAGCGCAAGUGACGGUACCUGCAGAAGAAGCACCGGCUAACUACGUGCCAGCAGCCGCGGUAAUACGUAGGGUGCGAGCGUUGUCCGGAAUUAUUGGGCGUAAAGAGCUCGUAGGCGGCUUGUCGCGUCGGAUGUGAAAGCCCGGGGCUUAACCCCGGGUCUGCAUUCGAUACGGGCAGGCUAGAGUGUGGUAGGGGAGAUCGGAAUUCCUGGUGUAGCGGUGAAAUGCGCAGAUAUCAGGAGGAACACCGGUGGCGAAGGCGGAUCUCUGGGCCAUUACUGACGCUGAGGAGCGAA
rnacentral:rRNA from 1 species